ACGGAGGGGACUAGCGUUGUUCGGAUUUACUGGGCGUAAAGGGUGCGUAGGCGGUUUAGUAAGUUAGAAGUGAAAGCCCAGGGCUUAACCCUGGAACUGCUUCUAAAACUAUUAGACUAGAGUGCGGGAGAGGAUAGUGGAAUUCCUAGUGUAGAGGUGAAAUUCUUAGAUAUUAGGAGGAACACCGGUGGCGAAAGCGACUAUCUGGAACGUUACUGACGCUGAGGCACGAAAGCGUGGGGAGCAAACAGG
rnacentral:rRNA from 1 species